CAUCACCGGAUGUGAUACCAAGGCCGGAAUGUUCUUGGUACCACUAGAACAUAGACAUCACCUAAGGUUCAUGUGCAUCACUUUAUCUAACUCUCGAUGGAAUCCUUGGAGAUCAGUACUUUCCUUCUUUUGAGAGUAUAGACAAGGAAGCUAAGCACAUUGAGAAAUGUUUUCGGUGACACAGAACAGUCUCACUAAGGCUUCCGUCUCAUUCUCUCCAGCCCUGGGACUGCAUUCCUGGAGCUUAUGGAGUCCAGAAGCAGAUUGGCUGCAGGACUUUCCCAUCUGAGCUUCAAGAUCCACAAAUAGAGUGUUGAAUAAAAGCUGCGGUCCCUCCCAGGAGAAGCUUUAUCUUCGAAAGAGAAAUGUGAACGGCUCUGCAUAAUGAGAGGCUCAUCGAAGGAAAGGGGGCAAGAAACGGAAAGCAACGAGGCAAAGAGAUAACAGGAGACUGGUUCCAGCAAUAUUCCUCCUUGCAGGAAGUGAGCCCCACUGAAUCCAUAUUUCUACAUAAUAAGCUGUUUGGUGGAGGCUUGAG